AGCUUUGCGCAGUGGCAGUAUCAUAGCCAAAGAGGUUUAUCCGAGGCGCAAUUAUUGCUAAUGGAAAAAAAAAAAAGGGAUAUUGAGAGGAACUGCCCAAAAUUUCAGAUCUUUCUGCCAUCUUUCUAGAAAAGGAUUUAUUUUGGCGUACCACCUCUAGU
rnacentral:snRNA from 1 species